CAUUCACUCAGUUCCUGCUGGAACCAGCGGUUGUCUUCAUUUACGUAGCGUUUUAGGACGGGCGGCAGGGAGUCCAUGCCAUGCAGUACCUGACCUGUCUCGUCAUCGGUGUUUUCUGAGGAAAAGUGAGGCUGAGACGAGGAAGUCCAGCACUCUUCUCAUCACCAGUUUCUUCUAUUCACAAUCUGGCUCCAGUUUCUGCCCAGCCACCUGAUAGGCCUGACUAAAAUCAGUCUGGAAUGGACUAAUGAUAGACCCUACUGGUCCUCACCUGUAUGACAGCGCUGAACCAGCAGGUGUUCCCGACAUUACGGAUGCCUACGGGCCAGUCACCCUGACGGAUCCAGUCUGCUGGGCUGCACAUCUCACCCUGGCCUUCACAGCGUUUCC